rnacentral:rRNA from 1 species
AGAGUUUGAUCCUGGCUCAGGAUGAACGCUAGCGACAGGCUUAACACAUGCAAGUCGAGGGGCAGCGGGGGUAGCAAUACCCGCCGGCGACCGGCGCACGGGUGAGUAACGCGUAUGCAACUUACCUAUCAGAGGGGGAUAACCCGGCGAAAGUCGGACUAAUACCGCAUGAAGCAGGGGCCCCGCAUGGGGAUAUUUGCUAAAGAUUCAUCGCUGAUAGAUAGGCAUGCGUUCCAUUAGGCAGUUGGCGGGGUAACGGCCCACCAAACCGACGAUGGAUAGGGGUUCUGAGAGGAAGGUCCCCCACAUUGGUACUGAGACACGGACCAAACUCCUACGGGAGGCAGCAGUGAGGAAUAUUGGUCAAUGGCCGAGAGGCUGAACCAGCCAAGUCGCGUGAAGGAAGAAGGAUCUAUGGUUUGUAAACUUCUUUUAUAGGGGAAUAAAGUGGAGGACGUGUCCUUUUUUGUAUGUACCCUAUGAAUAAGCAUCGGCUAACUCCGUGCCAGCAGCCGCGGUAAUACGGAGGAUGCGAGCGUUAUCCGGAUUUAUUGGGUUUAAAGGGUGCGUAGGUGGUGAUUUAAGUCAGCGGUGAAAGUUUGUGGCUCAACCAUAAAAUUGCCGUUGAAACUGGGUUACUUGAGUGUGUUUGAGGUAGGCGGAAUGCGUGGUGUAGCGGUGAAAUGCAUAGAUAUCACGCAGAACUCCGAUUGCGAAGGCAGCUUACUAAACCAUAACUGACACUGAAGCACGAAAGCGUGGGGAUCAAACAGGAUUAGAUACCCUGGUAGUCCACGCAGUAAACGAUGAUUACUAGGAGUUUGCGAUACAAUGUAAGCUCUACAGCGAAAGCGUUAAGUAAUCCACCUGGGGAGUACGCCGGCAACGGUGAAACUCAAAGGAAUUGACGGGGGCCCGCACAAGCGGAGGAACAUGUG